rnacentral:lncRNA from 11 species
GAACACAAGAGCAUGCAGGAUCGGUAAAUGUACCUACCAUAGAGUGUUGUACAUGGAAAUAAUGGUAGUAACAAGAAAUUCUUGAUAGGAUUCAGUUUGUCUGGUUAUGCUGGUUUGUGAUGACAACUACUGUACAGUAUAUAAUAAAUGUUCAGUUUUUGUUCAACAAUAAAUGUGAAUUAUUCUUCAUGGAAAAAUAAGACAUCCCCUGAAAAUAAGACCUAGAGGAUUUUUGGGAGCAAAAAUUAAUAUAAGACACUGUCUUAUUUUCGGGGAAACACGGUAUGAACAUUGUUUACAAACUGCAUUCAAUGACAGAUUCCCUUACUUCUUUCUCCUGAGCCCCAUUUUGGUGGUAAGGCAAUAGAGAUAGCAUUGCAGCUCAAAGAGAGUCCAGCUUCCUAUCCAUGCAGCCAGGUGGGAAAGCAAUGCGGCCUGUCCCUUUAAGAGGGACCGUGUUUCUGUCCGGUGCGCAGCGCAAUGCCUCCUGGGAAGCUGAGUGCCAGUGUCUCCUCCCACUUGCUUCCUCUGCUUUACUUGAGAAGGCCAAGAACUGCAUUUCCCAGCAUGCAAAGUGAGUUAACCUGGGCGCUGCGGCCUUAAAGGGCCAGCACAGGCAGAAGCGGCUCCAAAACUCAGCAAGGAGCUGCUAUGGCUGGCUGGAGUGGAGUGGGGUGAAAUCCACACUUGGAGGACAAGACACAUUUUCCACUGCAAUCAAGCCCAUCAAGUGUCAGAAGUAUCUGCCUUCUUCAAAGAGCAAGUCUACAAGGGCAAGAAAACCUGGACUCACCCCAAAUCUACUACUGCCUGCCUUCACAAUGUCACUGAGGAUCUUUAAAAAAAGAGUUAGACUGAUUUUGCCCCACUUUGGGCAAAGUCCAAGGAUACUCCAGAGUCUGCUGGGAAUUUUAGAGUAUGCUGUAUCACUGAAAGUCAAGACAGCAGGAUCGGGUCCAAUUUGAACUUAUUUGCUCUCUAGAAGGUAUAUUGGCACCAUAACCCUUUCCCUGAGCUAAUUGGUCCUGGAAAAGAGAAUGGACUAUGUACUCCCAGCCAGCCACAGAGCUCCAUCCAAGCUCCUGUUUAUUAUGGCCACAUUAUUCUGAUAUCUGCAGAGGCAUCCAAGCAACCUGCAAGAAGAUGGGGAUAUCAUAUUGAAGAGGACUAGGGCUAAAGUAGCGAUGAAAAAGAAUACCAGCUAGGAAUAAGAGGACCUUUAAGUGUAAAUUUACUGGUUGGAAGCAAAGAACUCAUACACGGUGAAAAUAAGGAGGGGAGUGCAGGAUAAUGCAGGAGGAGGAAAUCUGAGGGAAAAGCAGACACUGAUCAGAGAAGUGCCAGAAGAGAACAAAGGAAGAUAAAAAUUAAGAGAAUUUUGUGCAUGCUCAAAGGUGUUGGCUAUAAAAACUGAACUGCAUCUCCAUUCAAUGUGGCACUUUACACCCAGCAAGAUGACUUGAUCAGUUAAACUUGUUGCGCCGAUCUCCUGCUUUCAGCAUUCGAUAGGAAAGAAAACCCUGAAGGUUUUUGGGCUAAUUAAUAAUAAGAGGGACAUGAUAGUGAGCCCAACAGUCUCCUCUUUCUUUUUACUGGUCACACAAGUACCUCUGUUGAUGUCAAAAAAGGGGUACCUAGGAUAGUAUGGAACUCAGACUGUGGCUAACUGGGACUGGUGGCUAAGACAUGGAGGGUGAGAUGACCAUCCAGCAAAGCUGAUGCAGUUUUGGUCUGGUUGGAUCAUGUGGAUGCUGAGAUGGUGCUACAAUGAGUUCAGAUGGGUUUAUCUAGCAGCCUCUAGGGCCAGUUCAGACUGGCUUAAGAUUUAUCAACCAGUGAGAUUUAUCAUCCAAACAAGAUUUUAAAAAAUGUAAAUGGCUGGUUGAUUAAAUGCCCAUCCAGCACACAUUUUACAAUGCUUACGUAGCAUAACAGGCUAAAUAAUCACAAUAAUGAAAUACUUUGAGCCAAGUAAUAUUGAUUCUGCGCUUAUUAUUACAUAGGAACCAAAUAA